rnacentral:misc_RNA from 1 species
AAACGAGUACCCGUACUCUUCAACCCUUUGUGAACAUACCAUUGUCAGUUGCUUCGGCGGGAGGCCCCUGGGAGGGGCCCCGGGGCCCGGUCCUGAGCCGGGCUCCCGCCGGAGGGGCGCAAAACCAAACUCUUGUUGUAACCCAGUGGCACGUCCGAGUAAAAAAGAAGAAAAAAAUAAGUUAAAACUUUCAACAACGGAUCUCUUGGUUCU